rnacentral:rRNA from 1 species
CCCUUAGAUGUUCUGGGCUGCACGCGCGCUACACUGAUGCGCUCAACGAGUUUUAACCUUGCCUGGAAAGGUUGGGUAAUCUUUUUAAAACGCAUCGUGAUGGGGAUAGAUUAUUGCAAUUAUUAAUCUUCAACGAGGAAUUCCUAGUAAGCGCGAGUCAUCAGCUCGUGCUGAUUACGUCCCUGCCCUUUGUACACACCGCCCGUCGCUACUACCGAUUGAAUGAUUUAGUGAGGACUUCGGACUGGGACCGAUGCGGCUUUCGGGCUGCGUCGGUAUUCUGGAAAGAUGUCCAAACUGUAUCAUUUAGAGGAAGUAAAAGUCGUAACA